rnacentral:rRNA from 1 species
UGGGGAAUCUUAGACAAUGGGGGAAACCCUGAUCUAGCCAUGCCGCGUGAGUGACGAAGGCCCUAGGGUCGUAAAGCUCUUUCGCCAGGGAAGAUAAUGACGGUACCUGGUAAAGAAACCCCGGCUAACUCCGUGCCAGCAGCCGCGGUAAUACGGAGGGGGUUAGCGUUGUUCGGAAUUACUGGGCGUAAAGCGCGCGUAGGCGGCUAUCCAAGUCAGGGGUGAAAUCCCGGGGCUCAACCCCGGAACUGCCCUUGAAACUAGGUAGCUAGAAUACUGGAGAGGUGAGUGGAAUUCCGAGUGUAGAGGUGAAAUUCGUAGAUAUUCGGAAGAACACCAGUGGCGAAGGCGACUCACUGGACAGUUAUUGACGCUGAGGUGCGAAAGCGUGGGGAGCAAACAGGAUUAGAUACCCCUGUAGUCC